rnacentral:pre_miRNA from 2 species
CAUUAUCAAUUGACAACGAGAGAGAGCACGUUUGUAGCCAUUCAUACAUGGUCAUGGAUGCAUACAAGCGUGCUCUCUAUCGUUGUCAUGUGAUUUGUAC